AGAAAAGAAAAGGAAGAGCCCAGAAGAUCAUGUGUGGAUCCCAGACAUUGAAACAAGAAGCGGUAACAUGGAAGUUGCCUUGGAGAACGCAAAAUGUUUGAGAUGCCAGAGCCGUGGGCUAUCUGCUGAGGAAAGCUCCUAACAGGGAGUGGAAUCAGAGCAGGAGAAAGAAGUUUGUUGCAGUCAACAAAGAUGAAAAAGGAGUUAGAGAUGUGAAGACCGUUUUGACAUCAGACAUGGAGAUGCAGAGUUUGGAAUUUGCCCGGUUGGUUUCCUGUCUUGCUUUAGGGAUUACAGUUUUAAGUGAUUGGAUGGAUCUCAGGAAAGACUUUGAACCUUGGACUUGUAACAUUGUUGAGACUGCCAUAGACUAUGUGGACCUUUGAAGUAGGACUAAAUGUAUUUUGCAUUAUGCUAAGUUUAGGUGUGACCCCCAUAGACUCACGUUUAAAUAAGCCUAUGGGGACCAGAGAAUCUGAUAGUUUCUAUAUGCUCAGCCAUGGGAGUGGCGCUCUUAGAGGGUGUGGCCCUGUUGGAGUAGGUGUGGCCUUGUUGGAAUGGGUGUGUCACUGUGGGCGAGAGCUUUAAGACCCUCGUCCUAGCUGCCUGGAAGUCAGUAUUCUGCUAGCAGCCUUCAGAUGAAGAUGUAGAACUCUUAGCUCCUCCUGCACCAUGCCUGCCUGGAUGCUGCCAUGUUCCUGCCUUGAUGAUACUGGACUGAACCUGUGAACCUUCAAGAUGGGAGCCAAGGAAUACCAUGAAGUCACACCACACAAAAAACUUCCCAUUAGAGAUUUAUUGGGAGAGAAAAAUCCAGGAAGAUGGCUUCCUGUGCUUGGGCAAGAAUCAGCCUAGAACUGUGCAAGACGCUAGCAUUUCUUGGGAGGGGGGAGGGGGGAGGCUGGACCUUCUCAGGGUGGCCUGGGAUUGGAGGGAUUAUGUGGCCUGAUCUUUAGGACAAACCUUAGGGAUGGGUGGGGGUUUGUUUGUUUUUCUUGUAGAGCAGGUCCAGGCCACUCUCUCUUGGGGCUGGGAACUGAGAACACCUAGAGCCCUUACAAAAUGGCCUUAGGGAAGCCUGGGUGAUGGAGCCUGGCCACUCUCUGUCUUAGGGCUGGGCACAGCAGUUUUCUGCCAGGUAAGGGAGUCUGGGAGGCGGGGAGCAGGACCCCACCCCCCACCCCCCCCACCAGCGCCUCAGACUGGGUGGUGGGGGUGGGGAUGGCUGAAGGAGAGGACUGGUUAUUUCUCAGCCUUGAGGGUUUAUAUAAAAUAUAUAAAAUUUACAAAGGGAGUCUGGGGUAAGGAAAGCCUCCCUUGGCUGCUUAAGUUGGCAUGAAAAGCCAACAGAGAGAGAGGAGAGCUAGAGAGAUGGCAUGGGCUUUAUAAAGGGUACUCCAAGCAUGAUGACAGACGGUGGCCGUUGGAAAUUAUUUAACUAAGAUGGGUGAGGGGACGCACUUGGUUCAGGAACGCGGGUAGUUUUCCUAACAGAUACGCAGCCGCUUCUGAACCUCUGAACGCUUGCGUGGCAACAGAGCUGGAUUUGAUCUUGAUUCUUUCCCUGUGGGGGCUAAAGUUUAGCGCUUCGCUCGUGCAGGGGCUGGAAAUCUGGAGUACAGUAUGGAACUGUUCCAAAAAAUUCAGACUUGCCCUACGAUCCCCUCCUAGGCACCGCGUGUGAUCACCUAAAUGUUCUCUCUGGUCAGACAGCGGUUUCUUCCCUGGGGUUAGUCGAUACUAAACAGAUAACCGGCUGUCUACAAAUUGGGCCGCCGGGCUGACUUUCUAAGUAGCAGUUUUCUGAGAAAGCUGAGGUCAAAGGUUAAUUCAGACAAGUCUCCUCCCAGCCUGCCGCAGGCAACCAAUGUCAUUCAUCCCUGGGCCUUGCGGGUGAUCGGCCCCGUGAUCGGCCGGAAACCGAUGUGUGCUUCCCUAAGGCCUCAGCGAAGGAGCGGAGCCAUUGAAUGGGUUCGCGUCCGUUCAGAGAAGAAGGGACAGGGGCUAUAAGGAGGAUGUAAGCGGGGGUUUCUGGAAGGAUCCUUUCGGAUGCCUUUCUUCCCCGAUCCACUUCAGGACUUUUUUUCUCCGGAUGCGUUGGUGGUAAGAUGGUGGCUGGCUCGGUGUGGGAGCGCGGACUGUCGAGCUCUUCCCAGGAGGAGCGCGAACGGGGGAAGAGAGCAAGGUUGGUGGCUCUCUGGGACAGCCAGCCUACAGUACGACAGUACGAUCCGAUCUGAGAAGGUCGGCAGGCAGUACCUUUCAACAUUCGGGGCCCAAGGAUUCUUCGGUAAAUCAUCCCUAGUCGGCCACCAUGGUCUCAAAGCCAGUGAUGGGCUUGGGCUGUCCUGUCCUCAUGGUGGGGAGAAAGUGACAGAGUAAUUCACUUGGGCAGAGACAGGUGACAAACAAGAAAUACAAGAACGGUUGAUCAGGCGGUUUCAUCAGCCACACAGGUUCACGUGGAAGUCCCAGCCCCAACCCCACUCCACCCAGGGUCAGAAAGCAGGAGACAUGACCAAACUUGUUUGUUCUGCUGCUCAAAUUGGCGUUGCUGUCUGUCCUUUUUCAUUACUUGAAGGGUGGUCUGUCAGUCCUCAGUCAGUAGUUGUGUGUUAAAUGUUCCCGCUGUGAUGGUGGGAUCUUCUGCUCUGAUCAUAUCAAUGCCAACCCCCUAAGCACUCUUUUCACCCCAUCUGCUCCCAAGAACCUCUGCGAGCAGAGAACCUUGCUAUCUUGUUGGAGGCUCUAUCCACUGCAACUGAGCACCUGGUUCUCCUGGUGGGUGGUCUAGCCUUGUCUGCUGGUGGGUGGGCUAGCCUUGUCACGCAUCUCCCUUCAAAAGCCGAUAGUGACCGUCCUCUCUCUACACAUGGGUUGUGAAGGAAAAGUAGAUUUGUUUGUGACUUGGGAGGUAAUUUUGCUUUACUUAGAAAAGGGGACAAGUUAGGAACAGGGUAGCCUUGAACUUCUGAUCUUCCUGUUCCCACCUUCCAAGUGUACCCCCAGUUUAUAUUGGUUGUGGGCAGGGUGGUCCAUCUGACACACAUUUUUCCACCUCUGGAAUUUUAAUGCCUGUUUAAUAGUACCAACAAUGUUCCAAAUUGAUCGAAUCUACCUUGGAUUCUACAGGGAAAAAACAAAACAAAACAAACAAACAAACAAAAAAGGUUCUCACUUCACCAUGGCUAGAACAAAGGAGGAAUACUUGGGUCCCAGGCCCCAAAGACCUGCCAGUCUUCCCACUUCCUGAAACUCCCACCACCUCCUACCAGCCAAGCUGGGAGCAGGCUGGGUCUCUUCCCGCAUUCCAGGUCCCCAACAGGAGUAGCCUCUGAAAGCAGAUUAGCAUAAACUCUGAGAUCCUGGGGUGGGGGCUGGGAAGGCACACACCUGUAAUCUGCAGUGGGGAAUCAAGAGCCCCUGCUUCAAAAGACCGUACAAAGUGGGUCUGUGAGCCCCGUCUGGGCGGGGGUGCUUGCCUCCAAGAAGGACCACCCGAGUCUGAUCCUCAGAACUCACAGGCGGAAGGAGAGAACUGACUCCCAGAAGUUAACCUCUGACCUCUGACUUCCACGGAUAUGCUGUGGCACACACACACACACACACACACACACACACACACACACACACACACCUGCCCCCAAUACACAAAAUAAGUGAGUAGAAAUUGACCAAGAAUAAGUAAGGACUAGAAAAUGCACUGAAUUUGACUCAAUACAACGUUUCCCCAUCAGGCACACGUCUUGUGCUAGGUUCCCCUGCUAACUGCGGCCUUUGCUCUUUCUCACUCUGGCGUCUUUACUGCUCUUGUCAUCCGUGGGGUGGAGUUUUUGGAAGAUGUGUCUAGGCGUGGCCUCGUUUUCCUGUAUCUUCAGGUCUGGAAAACUGUUACGUUUUAUUUAUUUUGUAGUACUGGGGAUUGAACCCAGGGCUUCACAUAUGCUCAGUGAACACUCUGCCACUGACCUAUGUCCCCAGCCCGUUCUCCUAUUUAUUUAUCAACGGAUUGUAUAUGUGUAAGAGUGUGUGUGUGUGUGUGUGUGUGUGUGUGUGUAUGUAUGUGUGUGUGUAUGUGUGUGUGUAUGUGUAUGUGUGUGUAUGUGUGUGUGUGUAUGUGUGUGUAUGUGUGUAUGUGUGUGAGUAUGUGUGUGUGUAUGUGUGUGUUUAUGUGUGUAUGUGUGUGUGUGUGUGUGUCUUGGUGCAUGUGUCAAGGUCAGAGGACAACUUUUAGGAGCCAGUGCUCCCAUCUUGUCUCUGCCGCUGUACAGUGGACCACCGCCAGCUGACCUGUGACCCUCAGGUUCUGCCGCCCACCUCAGCACAGGCUCCCCGUGUUUAGAGAUUGAUGACAUCACAUCUGGCUCUUUAAAUGUGUGUUCCAGGGACUGAUCUCAGGCUAUCAGGUUUCUGUGGCAAAUGCUUUUACCUGCAAAGCCAUAUCCCCACCCCCACCCCUGCCGAGAUGCUCUCUGUCCCUCUCUUCUUAAGAGUCUACCCCUUGGGAUAUAUAUAUAUAUAUACAUAUAUGUGUAUAUAUGUAUAUGUAUAUAUAUUACGCUCUGUUCUUGUUUCAUGGAUAGAGUGCUCUGCUUAGUCUCUGAGGACCGUUGUUUUAAAGUCCGUUUGCUUUGUGAAAUGUUUGCCUUGUGGGUCUUGGGUUUUGUUGUUCGUCUGUGUGCCAGCGUUGGUGAUUGAAUGGGGCUGGGGUUCAUAGAUGGUUGGCAAGUGCCCAUCUCUGACACAGCUUUUGGGUUUUGAACUUCUUCCCUCCCUCCAUUUUUGUUUGUGUUUGGGGAUAAGGCCUUACUCUGUAGCCCAGGCUGGCCUUGAACUCAAGCUGAUCUUUUAUCAGCCCCUCAGGUAAAGUCCUGGGGUUACAGGUGUGCAUUGCCACACGCGGUUUUUGUGCUUCUCUGGACAUUAAUUUUCCUUAAGUGCCCAGUGACUUGUAACUUAGUACAUACAUGCCUGUGUUUGAAAGUUCUGCCUUCUGGUGGAUCAGGGUUCCCAUUUGAUGAAUCUGCCAGCCACAGCAGCAGAAAGAACCAUAGAAUGGGCAGGGCAUGGGCUAGGGGAAGAAGGCUGAGGGCACACACCCACGGUUUAAAACAAUUGUUGGGGAGGGAGGGCAGGACCUGCUGUUGCAGGAGGGGAUCCGUCUGUCCUCUCUGUUCAUAAAUGCAGCAUAUUCUUCCUCUAAGAACUUGGCUUCCUUCAUAGACAGCAUUUACAUCUCUUUCCUGUUCUCUCCUUUGGGCUUAUUUUUCCAUCAGACCCAAACCAUCCACUCUGUCUCUCAUAGAGUCCUGAAUCCCAUAGGCGUGGACCAUCCUGGUGCCCACACACACCACUGGGCUCCCAUCACAGGUUCUUCUUGCUUUCAGAUUUCCGUGUUUAGCAGGAGGGCAGGACCCUCUGAGUGUGAUCUCCACCAUCCACCAUCUCUCCCUUCUGGCCUGGAACCCUGAAAGGUUGCUACCCUAAACCACUCUGAAAACACAGUCAGUGCCUCCUUUUAGUCGGGAUACUUGUUUAGAGGGAAAAGAUCUAAUGUGAGGAUUUCUAGCCUCGGAAGGAAGUGAAGAUACGUCCUCAGAGGAGUGACUCAGGCAGCCUGGACCUCCCCAGCACAGGUUCAGCUGACACUGUUUUUGUGGCAUGGUAUGCUGGCAGGCACUGGCCAGGAGCAGCGCAGGCACGGGAGACAGUGACCUUUUGAUUCCUUGUUCUUAUAUAGGUCUCUUAAGAAUCCGGGUCCUUAUGAGCAGUACCACUCCUCUACCCCCAAGCUCCUUGUGCUUCCUUGAAAGGCUGUCUCUUUAGUCCUGGUGCCACCACACAGGAUCUGGAGUGCCCAGGGCUUGGCAGACAGCAAGUUCCUGACAACUGUGAGCUGUUCAUACUGAGACAUCUGCAGGCAAGUCAAAUAGGCCAGAACUCGGCCACAGGAGCCACCCCUGAGACAAUGCCGUAUUGUGUGGAGGAAAACACAACACCCUUAGCUUCCUACUGGGCCAGGUCAGUUUCUGACUGUUCUUGGGCACAUGGGCAGGUCUGUAGGGAGAUGACAUAGUGUGGCAGUGGUUUCAGAGAGAGAUGUGAUGAAAUUGGAAUGUGUGUCGGGACCUUGCUGCUUUAGGGGCCUCGGUACCCACCUUUAGUGACAGGGGACUUGUGCUACACCCCCCACCCUCCAGCCCCCACCCGGGCCCAGGCCACCUAGGCUCCUGCAAACAGCAGACAUGUAAUUAGAGGCUUCUGGGCUGGGCUGAGGCAGUACACAGGCAAGUCUGGUCCUGUGCUGGCCACUGUGGGUGCUUGCCCUACAGAGCUGGUAUUACUCAGCCGGCUGCAGGAGCUGUCAGCUGGCUGCUGCUGGGCCAAGAACCCUGAUCAAUGAGGGAGAAGAGACACUGUGUACAAGGACACUGGUUCAUCCAAGAACAUGAGGCUAGCCAGGAAUUCAGAAUAACAAAGUACGGCUUCCUGUGUGCUGUGCCUGAGGCGGUGCCAUGGCUAGGCCAGAGGAAGGCUUGGCGAGGGCCAGAAUGACACGACUCAUUCUGCCUUUCACAAGAGGGGAGUGGACAAGGCAUGCUGUCCCGGGGGAAGGCACCGGCUAACCCUCGUGAUUGUGAAGAAAUCCACGGGAGGCGGGUGAUUAGAUGUUUGCUAAGGAAUGAAGGUGCUGCCCGGAUCUGUGCUGUGCACUUUCCUAAGCAGUUCCAUUUAGCAGGAGCAGGAGGGGGAGCAGAUAUGUGGAUCCCUGUGGGUGAUUGCUACGGGCUUUUGUGCUUGGGGUUCCCGGGUGUCUGAACUUACAGGGCGAGAGAUGACAGCAUUCGAGAGGCACGCUAGCUAAGCCUCUAGCCUGACAGCUAGGAGACAGGUGCCAACUAGUACUCUAAGCACAUUCCUUCCCAUUCGUUCCCAGCCCCCCACUCCUUACCAAACCCCACCUGCUGCUAUGGGGCGGUGACUUUUGAGUCACGAGGUUGCUCUGAUGUAAGCUCAGGUACAGAAAAACACACACAGGUAUGUUUGCCUCUUCAGACUCCGAGUACACGCAUCUCGAAAGCUGAGGGGAGCUUGUCUAAACGUGUGGCAGCAGCAGAUUCCUCGUGGCUCAGGUACGAGUGUCCUGAAGUUGAAUCCGUGCGGGUGGAAAGAAGGCGAGGAAGCUCACGCCCUCACAAUAAGCAGCGCCAGGCACGCCUGAACCGUGUCUGUGUGGUUACAGGUAGUGAGAGGUGAGGCCAACAGUGUAGACAGAUUCUGCUCUCUUCGCCUUCACCCCUCAGAGCCUCGAAAGAAUGGAAUGACUCACCCCUCAGGGAGCAAAGGCGCCAGAACAUUCUGUCAAAUGACCUACACCACAAGGAAAACAAGUCCUGAAGUGCAUUUUUAGUUUGAAGAAGACUUACUGAAUAUAAGGGCAAGAAAGACCUCGAAGCUUGAGAGCUCAACUAAAAUUUCCAUUUUCUUUUUUUUUUUUUCGUCUCUUGUCUUUUUCUCGUUUCAAGUGUGGAACCUCAAGGCUCUGGCUCUUAGAAGGCUUCUUCAGGGUCCUCCCAGGAGCCGAGCCCACUCUAGAGCCAGCAUCAGGUCCAUCUUGUCAAGUACCAUGGGCAUCGUGCGUCUUUGCAUGACAGCUUUUUACAAAAUGCCUGACAGAACGGCCAAAUGCGUUUCCAGUUUUAAGUAUGACCAAGCAUCAGUCUGCAACUAAGCAAAGCAUUAUACAAGGAUCGUGCAGACAUCAGUUUCCCAUUUUGAUAAUUACGUAAGAUAUUAUACAGGGCUGUAAGGAGGGCUUAGCCAUUAAGAAUACUGGCUGUUCUUCCAGAGACCCGGGUUCAGUUCCCAGCACCCAUGUGGUAGCUCAUGGCUGUGGUAAUCACAGUCCCACACUAUCUUUGGGCCUCUGUGGGCACCAGGUACUGCAUGCAUGCGACACACAGACAUACACAGGCAAAAUACCCAGACACAUAAAAGUUGGGAAAAAAAGAAACUCAACUCGCUUGGUGCGCUGGCUUUCGGGCAGGCGGGCAAACGGGCAGGCGGGCUCCUGGAUGUCUCAGCAGUGCGCUAUCAGCGUGGUAGCUGAGUACAUUUCUUAGGCCAGGACAAACUGUGGAAAGGAUCUCCCAGAAGUCCAAGGGGGAAAAACCCAGAAAACCAGGUAAGGAAAUGAAGUUGGAGCUCAUGUGAGUACCCACGGCUCCCUGUGCCAGGCAAUACUCAGUACUAGGACAGGGACACAGGAGGUCCCAGCUACAGCUCGCUUUGGAAGAAGGGCGGUGCAGACUGCUUUCGGUCUGGAGCCUGCCUGUCAUUCCCACAACUCUGAAAGCCAUGGGUCUCUCCAUCCCCCGCUUGUCACUCUGGUGCCAGUUUUGGGCCCUGGCCCAUAGCUUUUAGUGUUUCUGCUAAUUUCACUUCUCUGAAAUGUUCUCCACACAACAGCCACUGUCAUCUUUCCUAAAACAAAUCACAUCGUGUUCCUCUCCCACUUAGGAUCUCUGAGUUGCACCCACUGCCCUUUUCCACUGCUCAGCCUACUCGCCUGUGGCCUUCAGCUUCUGGAACAUGCCCAGCUUCUUCCUGCUUCCUGGCCUCUCAGACUUGCCUUCAUCUGCUAACAUACCUUCUAAAUCACCACCCACCCCCACUCUGGACAUGAUUCCCAGGGUUAAGUUGCCCUUCAGUUGCCUGCUGAAUGCCUUUUUAACACUUCCAAAUCCUGUUGCUGUAAGCUCUCUUCCUCCCGGAUCCAGCAUGGCUGCCACUCAACAGGCUUCUGUUAUGGGAUGAAUUCCCAAGCUAGAGUGACACACAGGGCCACCAGCUUGGAUACAGCAGCCCAGCAGUCUGCAAGGCUCUCUGCAGUGCCUGGCCACGGGGAUUAAGGCCUCAGACAAGCAAGCAGUGAAGGUCACAAAGGGCCCAGAGUGACCCAGACUGAGUCCUAAAGCUCAAGAAGUCUGCACACAGAGUGUCCUACGGACUGCACAGCCUGGCCUUCCUCGUGUUACUGUUUCCACAGAAGCUCCAGAACCAAGUUUACUGUUUAUUGUUCCAGGUGAGAGCAAAAAAGGCUUGAUUUUUGCCAUACUUUUUUUCUUUUUCUUUUUUGAGACAGGGAUUCAUGUGGCCUAGGGGAACCAAAGAUGACGUUGUGAACUGCUGAUUCUCCAGCCACCAUCUCAAGUGCUGGACUUAUGGGCAUGCCCUGUUUACGUGAUACUCGGGACCAAGUCCAGAGUAAGCACUUCAACAACUGACCAAGUCUUCAGCCCAUACAUUUUUAUAACACCCAAGUAAAGUUGCUCAGAUUGUCAUUUAGAAAUCUACAAUAGUUUCAACAUGUAUUGAACCCCAAACACUGUCAUGCUUGAAAAAAUAACACCAAUUGCUUGAGACAUAAGAGUUUAGACAAGACAUUAACGGUGUCAUAAAUAAGUAAUAUAACUUUAUUAAAAUGAAAAGACAAUAUUCAAAAUAAUGCAACAAAAUGAACAAAUCCUUUGUCCAAUACUGUACACACAGUGCGGAGAUCAGUGCAUUUUCUAAAGCAUGUUUUAACCUUCAUUUAGUUCAUACUAAAAAUAAGCUUUAAAUAGCUCAAAUAAUGUCAUUCAGCAGUUUAAACUGAACAGCUUGUUGGGACAUGGCAGCGGUGUCCCUCUGUUAGCAAGCACCUUCUCUUUGUGCUUAUCUAUACAAGAUAAACAAUCAGAGGAUGUAAAAAUUGAACACAAGCUACACGUCUCACUGACUCUCAGGGCAGUGAGGCAGCCAGCUGUGAGUUUUCUAAGCAGGAAGAUGCUGAAGUGACCUCUGGCAUUAAGACGUUCUGUGCUAUUGGUCAGAAGUGUUUCACUUAAAAAGCAAACAAUCCCCAGGAAAUACUGAAUAGGAACCAACAACACAAGACCAGCUUGUGUUGUACUUUAAAGUCUCAAAAACAAAACAACAUCCCAUACACCCCACGAUAACUCUCAAUCAUGGCUAAUCACUGGGCUGGUCUAUAAAACUUAUACCCAACACUGACGGCCAGCACCACUCAACUGCACUCUUGAAAGCCUCUUCAGUGGACGGGAAAAGCAGGAAUAGCAUGGAAAAGUCACCAAUUCUGUCCAUUUCCAAGAGAGACAUACACAGGUGAUAGAUAACAUGGUCCAGAAACGGCUGUCCUCUCCUCUCAAGACAAACGCCCAGAGCGGCAAGUAUUAGGCCAUAGAACGAUUUCAACAAGACGUUACAGGCCUGGCGAAGAGCACGCCCUGUCGUGUAUGGAGAAGACUGCUGGCAGGGAAGGGGAAGAAAACAAACUAGAUAGCAGGCCUGAAUGCCAGGAAUCUCUACAUUUAUAACUGAUCAACAGUACUGCUCUCUCCCGUUUGCUCAAUUUUCACACUGUCUGGAGCUGUGCCUCCAGCUCGUUUGAAUUGUUCUGAAUAUAGAUUACUCUAGAGUGACUAAUUGGUUAUCCUGCAGCUAUGGUCUAUGGUUACACCGCACGUUUAUACAUAGGUAUAUAAUGUAGUCAAAUGUAAAAGUGUCCCUCUAGCACAUCUUUAAAUCAUACUUUUUUCUUCCUAUGCUGAUAGGUCAGGGACUCCCAGCACAACAGCACC